rnacentral:rRNA from 1 species
GGAUUAGGCAUGCAAGUCGCACGAGAAAGGCUUCUUCGGAAGCCGAGUAAAGUGGCGAACGGGUGAGUAAUGCAUAGACAACUCGCCCUUGAGAUGGGGACAACGCCUCGAAGGGGGUGCUAAUACCCAAUGCCGCCUUGGGCAUGCGGGUCCAGGGUGAAAGGAGGCCUCUGAUUCAAGCUUCCGCUCAAGGAGAGGUUUAUGUCCUAUUAGCUAGUUGGCGGGGUAACGGCCCACCAAGGCUGCGAUGGGUAGCCGACCUGAGAGGGUGACCGGCCACAUUGGGACUGAAACACUGCCCAGACUCCUACGGGAGGCUGCAGUCGAGAAUCUUCCGCAAUGCGCGCAAGCGUGACGGAGCGACGCCGCGUGGGUGAUGAAGGCCUUCGGGUUGUAAAACCCUGUCAGCUACUACGAAACACGGGCGAUGAACAAUCGUCCCGUCUGACUUAAGUAGCAGAGGAAGCACCGGCUAACUACGUGCCAGCAGCCGCGGUAAUACGUAGGGUGCGAACGUUGUUCGGAAUCACUGGGCAUAAAGGGCGUGUAGGCGGUCGUACAAGUCAGAUGUGAAAGCCCCCGGCCUAACCGGGGAACUGCAUUUGAUACUGUGCGGCUAGAGUGCAGGAGGGGAGAGUGGAAUUCCUGGUGGAGCGGUGAAAUGCGUAGAUAUCAGGAGGAACGCCGGCGGCGAAAGCGACUCUCUGGCCUGCAACUGACGCUGAGGCGCGAAAGCUAGGGGAGCAAACGGGAUUAGAUACCCCGGUAGUCCUAGCCCUAAACGAUGGGCACUAAGUAGAGGGGUUUU